UGUACCCUUAACUCGUACCCCUGGUAGAAUAAAAUCAAAAGAGGUUUGAACAUUGUCUACCAUAUGAGUUGUGGGUACGAAUUGUACCCUAGAUAAUGACCCAUGGUGAGCCAUUCAUACUUAGAUUCAAGUUAUUUUAUUAAGUCUUAGAUUAAGUGAAGGAAAAACCUAAACAAAAUAACUCGUAUCCAACCAUACGACUCGUACCAACCCAAGUUGUACCUAUUCCAAAAACCAAUCCAACCCAUCAACCAAAACUGGUUAGUGUAUGACGAAACCUUAUCUAUCGUACCUCAAGAUAUGACCAUUAACCCCUAGUCAUAUCUUGUCCAGAAACCAGAAAUACAAAAAAAUUUCUAAGGGUCAAACCCAGGGUGUUUUAGUAUUAUGGCUCACAAAGUUUAUACUUAUGCUUCAUUACUCAUGUUUAUGAUUUUGCAGUCUUUAUUUUAUUCAAGCUCAAGGUGAGUCAUUUACACUUAGCAUGC
rnacentral:lncRNA from 1 species